rnacentral:rRNA from 1 species
CCUACGGGAGGCAGCAGUGAGGAAUAUUGGUCAAUGGGAGGAAUCCUGAACCAGCCAUGCCGCGUGCGGGACGACAGCUCUACGAGUUGUAAACUGCUUUUGUACCGGGGUAAAAUGCCUUACGUGUAGGGUUCUGAAAGUACGGUACGAAUAAGGAUCGGCUAACUCCGUGCCAGCAGCCGCGGUAAUACGGAGGAUCCGAGCGUUAUCCGGAUUCAUUGGGUUUAAAGGGUGCGUAGGGUGUUUUGUAAGUUAGCGGUCAAAUACCGAUGCUCAACCUCGGGGCUGCCGCGAAUACUGUCGGACUAGAGAUCGGAAGCAGCAGGCGGAAUGUGAAGUGUAGCGGGGAAAUGCAUAGAUAUCACGCAGAACCCCGAUUGCGAAGGCAGCAUACCGGUGCAAAACUGACGCUGAGGCACGAAAGCGUGGGUAUCGAACAGGAUUAGAUACCCCGGUAGUC